rnacentral:rRNA from 1 species
AGUGAACGCUGGCGGUAGGCCUAACACAUGCAAGUCGAACGGCAGCACAGUAAGAGCUUGCUCUUACGGGUGGCGAGUGGCGGACGGGUGAGGAAUACAUCGGAAUCUACUUUUUCGUGGGGGAUAACGUAGGGAAACUUACGCUAAUACCGCAUACGACCUACGGGUGAAAGCAGGGGAUCUUCGGACCUUGCGCGAUUGAAUGAGCCGAUGUCGGAUUAGCUAGUUGGCGGGGUAAAGGCCCACCAAGGCGACGAUCUGUAGCUGGUCUGAGAGGAUGAUCAGCCACACUGGAACUGAGACACGUUCCAGACUCCUACGGGAGGCAGCAGUGGGGAAUAUUGGACAAUGGGCGCAAGCCUGAUCCAGCCAUACCGCGUGGGUGAAGAAGGCCUUCGGGUUGUAAAGCCCUUUUGUUGGGAAAGAAAAGCAGCAGGUUAAUACCCCGCUGUUCUGACGGUACCCAAAGAAUAAGCACCGGCUAACUUCGUG